UACAGAGGUCUCAAGCGUUGUUCGGAUUCAUUGGGCGUAAAGGGCGCGUAGGCUGCGGGGCAAGUCGGGUGUGAAAUCUCAGGGCUCAACCCUGAAACUGCACUCGAUACUGCUCUGCUUGAGGACUGGAGAGGAGACUGGAAUUCACGGUGUAGCAGUGAAAUGCGUAGAUAUCGUGAGGAAGACCAGUGGCGAAGGCGGGUCUCUGGACAGUUCCGUGACGCUGAGGCGCGAAGGCCAGGGGAGCAAACGGG
rnacentral:rRNA from 1 species